rnacentral:rRNA from 1 species
GAGUUUGAUCGUGGCUCAGGAUGAACGCUGGCGGCGUGCCUAACACAUGCAAGUCGAACGGGAACCCUUGGAUUCGUCUGGGGGGAGAGUGGCAAACGGGUGAGUAACACGUUGGUGACCUGCCCCAAAGAGGGGAAUAACCACUGGAAACGGUGGCUAAUACCCCAUGUGGUCUGUCGGUCGGACGGCAGAUUAAAGCGCCCCAUUAGGGGUUGCGCUUUGGGAGGGGCCUGCGGCCCAUCAGGUAGUUGGUAGGGUAAUGGCCUACCAAGCCGAUGACGGGUAGGGGGCGUGAGAGCGUGAUCCCCCACACUGGCACUGAGGCACGGGCCAGACUCCUACGGGAGGCAGCAGUGAGGAAUAUUGCCCAAUGGACGCAAGUCUGAGGCAGCAACGCCGCGUGGGUGAUGAAGGCCUUCGGUUGUAAACCUUUACUGGGGACGGAGAAAGGACGGUACCUCAGGAGUAAGUCGCGGCUAACUACGUGCCAGCCGCCGCCGUAAG